AUCGAACGCUGGCGGCAGGCCUAACACAUGCAAGUCGAGCGGGCACUUCGGUGUCAGCGGCGGACGGGUGGGUAACACGUGGGAACGUACCCUUUGGUUCGGCAUAACGCUGGGAAACUAGUGCUAAUACCGGAUAUGCUCUUUUGUGCAAAGGGUUGCUGCCGUAGGAUGGUCCUGCGUCGUAUUAGCUGGUUGGUGGGGUAAUGGCCUCCCACGGCUAGGAUCAGUAGCUGGUAUGAGAGGAUGAUCAGCCACACUGGGGCUGAGAAACGGCCGAGAAUCCUAGGGGAGGGAGGAGUGGGGAAUAUUGGAAAAUGGGGGGAAGGAUGAUGCAGCCAGGACGGGUGAGUGAUGAAGGCCGUAGGGUUGUAAAGCUAUUUAAUACGGGACGAUAAUGACGGUACCGGAAGAAUAAGCACCGGCUAACUUCGUG
rnacentral:rRNA from 1 species